CACACACACACACACACACACACACACACACACACACACACACACACACACACACACACACACACACACACACACACACACACACACACACACACACACACACACACACACAAACACACACACACACACACACACACACACACACACACACACAUGCACGCACACACUUACAGUAUCGGACAUAACGAUAGAACCCUGGUGUUUUCAACGCACCUUGCACUUGUUUUACCACGUUACUUGUGUUUGUGUGUGUGUAUGUGUGUGUGUGUGUGUGUGUAUGUGUGUGUGUGUGAGUGUGUGUGUGAGUGUGUGUGUAUGUGUGUGUACAUGUGUGUGUGUGUGUGUGUGUGUGUGUGUGUGUGUGUGUGUGUGUGUGUGUGUGUGUGUGUGUGUGUGUGUGUGUGUGUGUGUGUGUGAGAGAGAGAGUUUGCUCGCGCGUGUUUAUGUGUGUGCGUGCGUUUGGAAACCCCAAAACUGUUUGAUUCUGAUUCGUACAUUUUCAUCUGCUGCGGCUACAAAGUCCAUGCCUUUUCGAUCUCGCUACCUGAGCGACAACACAAGCAUUUGAUUGGCACCACCAUCUUUGCGACCGGCUCUGCUGUUGGGGGUAUUAAAAAGACACAUGAUUUAAGCAAACGAGCGUGUGAUUUGUUUCACAUUUAUUUCUAAUUCAGCUAGCGGACGCAAGUGGAAACAACAUUUUGAAUUGAAUCCAUACAAAAGAGGAUUCUGGAUUUGUUUAUUACGGUGCGCGUAUGGUGCGGCACCUGUCCGUCCAGAAUCUGGUGGCUUGUUGGUUUGGAGUAGUUAUCAUGACGCCGAUUGACCGGCAAUGCCUUGGAAUGGGUUCGGAUCGGUAGGUUCAUGUUUUGGUCGAGUGCAUUCCGUGCAUUUGUCGCCCCACAGCGGUAGACCCGGCAGCACCAAAGUCAAAAUAAAAACCUUCCCCGAGUGUGGGCUGCUAUGCUAAGUUCUUAUUAGUAUUAUUAUUAUUAUUAUUGGCGUAAUAGUCAACGCGAUCAUGCCGGCCUUUUCAGGACUUGAGUACCACGUAGCCGGUGACAAACCCCUUGCUACGGCGGACGGUUCAUACGCGGUUAGAACCCACGACGGGCAUGCAGAUGUGCGGAAUGAUGGCGGUGCCGCGGGACCGCUCCUAUCCAGCGUGCAACUUGCAUACUGCCACACUGUUUCCUGCUCGAUGCAUACGCUGCAGGCAGGGGGAAGGAUGCACCUCCACGAUAAAAAAAACACGGCCAUGAACCAGCUGCGGACCUAACGGUAGGCGGACUAGGCGGUAGCCGAAGAUCUCUAGUCUGUAGUAUGCCGUAUGUCUACAAGUGGACAGAGUAUUAGCGACAAGGGCUCCCGGAAAGAUGGUCGUUGGGGCCCCGUGGUUGGAGAACCAUUUCCCCCCCCCCCCCCCUCCCCCAUACCCAGACGGCAAUAAUUUUAGGGCCUGUGACCGAUGAUCUUAGGGGUUCCAUGACCGAAGCCCAUCCUCCUCCCUCCCUCCGCGGAAAAUUUAAGUAUACGUUCAAUCUUCCAACAGCUGUGUCUCAGUACCCCCUUCUCCCGGUCAUCAGUUACCAUUGACAGGGGCCACAACUCGUCUUUCCGCCUUCCUUUCUUUGACCGAUGGAUCAUAACAUUCCGGAAGAAAACACAUUGGGCGACAGUUUUGCUCUCAAACGCACACUCGCACCCAUGCGCAGUCGGCUCAGGAUAUCUAUGUAAUCUACAGCAUACGAAAGCAAAAGCUUAGGGUUAUGCUUAAUGCUUAACACGUUCAGCACGAUGACAUGUCCCAGGGACUACCAGUGAACUUUCCAGGAUGCUGGUUUCAAAAUCAGCUUGCGUUCUUGAUGCUGGCGGAACGGAAAGUUGAUGAAAAUCAGCGCCGGGCUGAACGUGUCAAUGCGAAUUAAGGUUCAGCGCGUUGCACAGCAAACCCUCCAGCGUAAACUAACGAUUCCUUAGUCAUUUUUAUAUUGCAGUGUUUGAACUCAUUGCGAUUUUUUGGUUUGAUUUUUGAAAAUGCAAGUUCAUCGCCGCAAUGUUUGUUAACGGCAUUCUUAGGCGCCACAACAGCUCGCGAGCAUUGACCACACGCGAGAAAGAGAUGGCGUUAUGGAAGGAAAAAGCACGGACGGCUGACGCACCAACACAUUCAAACCUUCGACAGCGCGCUUAGGCGAGGGGUAUGAGGCGAAGCCAGGGACGGGUAGCUCGACGAGCUGCUCGACAAAUUUGCCGUUGGAGAGAAAAGGAAGGCAUGAUAAAAUUCUCAAAACUCCAUGAUUUCUUCCGUCGCUUUGCGCAGCGGGCAGCCAAAAUCUGCGCUGGCCAGCGCAGGCUUUGGUACAUUUCCUGCGCAGGAAACUGCUCGAAUUUGCGCAGCGGGGUCGCUUUGCACAGCGGGCCCAAGUGACAUCCCAAGUGACAUUUGCUCGAAAUUGUUUUACCAUAUCUGCUUGAUUACUACUCGAUACGCCGGAAAUUGUGGAUUUGUGUGUGAUCAAUUGUGUUGGAAGCGCUAAGAUUUGGUGUGUUCGUAAAUUAAGCUUUCUUCUGUAAUAUCCUGGAGAUUUGACCCCUGAUAAGACCAUAGUGCUCAAUAUGCCGGAUCAGAAUAUGACCAUCACCGUGACAACUGUGCGAUAAUCUGAAUGUCAAAAUAAAGAUCAUUCGUUUACGGAUCGUUGUACUGACAACACCUUCAGCCUUCCGUUAAUUCUUCUGCCUUCCGAUUUUGUGCCUUUUAUAAGUUCAAAGUUUAGUUCAAAUUAGUAAAAUCCGAGGUUUUACAUCUCAGAAGUGGGAUACGUCUUAUCGCCUGCACCUGCUUUUCUGUCCAAUCCAGCACGGCACAAGAUUGUGUAUCAAAGAGUUUGUGUGUUUGUGUGUGAGACGACGCUACCAUCUGCCAUUGCGAUGCGCAAAAACGAGAAGCUUCUGUGUGUGCUUGCCGGUAUAGGCAGCAAAUUCGAUGAUUAGGCACGAUUUGCCUCAUGGGUAGAUGGCCAGAUUCACCACCCGCAACGAUCUCGAUCCCUGCAACCGCAUAGACACCAGCCAUCCAGCAUUUGCAUUUUGUGUGGCCGCCAUCUUGUUCAUGUUGCGCGACAAUGACGACGCCGCCAUUUAGUAUGAAUACGGCCGCUGGCUAUUCUUUCAUCAUCGCUCAUACUUGGAAUACUGGAAAAGCUUCGCGCAUCACUUCUGUUAUUGCAUGUGCACCGCAUGCCGUGUUGUCAUCGCCUCCGAUUCAUCGUGUGUAUUGCCUUCCGCCACUUUAUGGAUUGACCCCGCUACCACCCUCUACCGCCGCGUCAUGUUCGAGUGCUGUGGCAUCAGUUGUAGCCUACUGAACUGUUGAACAACAAUCAUCGUGGUGUCGUUCAGUAUUCAGGUUCAUCCUGAUCGACAUUGUCCUUAUGCUUGGCUGUAACUUCCGUAAACUUCAGCAAGACUUCCGGAGGAGAUGUUGGUCAGAAAAGCAGCUGUGAUUGAAAUUGACACCCACCUUGAAAUUGACCCAACAUUACGCAUCAUAUGACGACAUCAUUCAGGAUCAACACCUUUCGAUAUCAUCAUCGUCCUUAUGCUUGGCUGUAACUUCCGUAAACUUCAGCAAGACUUCCGGAGGAGAUGUUGGUCAGAAAAGCAGUUGUGAUUGAAAUAAAGCCGCUCAAAUUGAGGUCAAUUUGUUUGUCAGGAUAGCCGAGCUGUAAUAUCCUGGAGAUUUGACCCCUGAUAAGACCAUAGUGCUCAAUAUGCCGGAUCAGAAUAUGACCAUCACCGUGACAACUGUGCGAUAAUCUGAAUGUCAAAAUAAAGAUCAUUCGUUUACGGAUCGUUGUACUGACAACACCUUCAGCCUUCUGUUAA